CAUCACAAAGAAGCUUAACUGAGAGUAAAAGCUUAUAAAUGGAAGACAUUAAUGGCGAUGGCAAGCGUGCUAGAGAAGAUGCUGAAGAAAGGUAUCUUCCUGAUGAACUCAUUACUCAGCACAUCCUUCCUCGCCUUCCCAUCAAAUCCUUAACUCAAUGUAAGUUAGUUUCAAAGGAAUGGUAUUCUACCAUUUCACAACCAAAAUUAUAUCCUUGAUCACUUCAAUAAAUCUGUUUUUAGUGACCCUUUUACCCCUGUUGAAUCUCUCUUUAUUUCAAUCUGGUGAUUCUUUUUACCUUUUCCCUUGCUCUAAUCUUUAUUAUGAUAAUGAUGAAAAUGUUGAUGAUGAUGAAAAUGUUGAUAAUGAUGAAGUUGCUGAAAGAUGGUUUGGUUGAAUUAAAUUUUAAUUUUGAUUUAUGAAGAUACAGAAUUUUGAGGAUGAUGAAAUUCAAUUGGUUGGGUCUUCAAAUGGGUUGGUUUGUUUAAGUGGAAAAAUUGGAAGAUACUUCUAUUUAUAUAACCCUAAAACUAACCAAUCUCACAAAUUCUACCCUGGUGAUUUUGAUCAUUUGGAAAUUAUGCGGGCCAAAACCCCUAACUAUUUGGGGUUUUGGGUAAGUAUCAUCAGUUGACGACUAUAAAGUAGUUAGGAUAAUCCCACAUUUUAAUGGAGAAGUUAACAUGAUUCAUGUUUAUUCACUUAAGUCCAACAUUUGGUCCAAACUUGAAUAUGGCUUAGAGGAAACGUGUUUUGAUUACUGGUCGACCUAAAUUAGCUAAUGAGACUUUGUAUUGGAGUGUUGGUAGUGGCCAAAUUAUUGCCUUCAAUUUGGUUCGGGAGACAUUUGAGUUCUUCCCUCAUUUGGGAAUAAUUCAUCGAUCUAGCGAUGAGUUAUGUGUGAUGGGAGGGUGCUUAUCCAAGUUCAAUUCAAUGUCUCUAGGUGGUUAUGCUUAUUGAGAUUAUGAAACAUCCUGGAAAGUUGGUUUCUGUUCAUUUGCCAUAUGGUUUGAAGACUUUGAACCUUAGGGAUAUUAAGCAGCUGAUCGGGUUCACAAAGGCUGGCGAAGUCUUUUUUUACUCGUUCUUAUCCUCGGAUGCUAGGGCUUGCUUGAUCAAUAGUCAAUGGAACCACUUGUAGCAUUUGAAGAUCCGUUUGUUUUCUUGUUGAGAGUUAUGUUCCUACCGAAAGUUCACCUUACCCUGCAGCCGAGCUGCCUAAUGAACCUGCUGAGGGGACUUGGCCAAUAUAUCCACAGUUAAUAAACAUCAUGAUACUAGAAUCGAACGAGUUUAAUCAGACAUGAAGUUCUCUAUCGAUAUAGGAAAGUGAAGGAAGCUCAAGCAGCAUGAUGAUGGUGGCCAGUGGCGGACUGGGCCUUGUGCCUGGUGGGUCAAAUGACUCACCAGAGCCCAAAAAAAAUUUUAAGUUUUUUUUUUUAAAAAAUAAAAAAUAAAAAAAAAAAAAAUCUAACUUCAGGUCCCGACACUUCCUCAAGCCCUAGCCCACUGCCUCCUCAGCUGCUCUUCCCUCUUCGCCUCUUGACUUCCUCUUCGCUUCAUCUUCACCAGACUGCCUCCACCCAGCCACCCUCCAGUCGCCUGCUCUGCCUCUGCUGCUUGCCUGCUUGAUGCUUUCCUGCUCCGUCUCCGUGGUCACUGCUCUUCGCCUCUUCGCAAUCGCUUCGACGCAAUUGCUAAUUCACUAUUAACGCUUCCUCUUCGCUCAUCGGCUCACGCCUCGUCGCCUCCAGUGCUGGCCCUGCUGCUUCGCCUACUCGCCUCAAUCAGCGUCUGCCGUCUGGCAAGGUAAUCAUCAAUUUAUUCUUUUUUUUUUUUUGUGAAUUUCUGAUCAAAUUUGCAUUACUUGUUGCUUAAAAUUAGUAUAUACGAUGAAUGUUCAUUGAAUUUGCAUUAUUUGUGUUUUGACUGUUAAAUUGAACUUAUUAGUUUAUGUGAUGCCAGACAUUGUAUAAGACAGCUAUUAGUGUAAGGAGGAUUAUAAAUUUAUAAUUAGAUUACAGUGUGGACUGGUUAGUGGUGCUAGUCGCAUAUUCGGAUGGAAGUUCCGUAUAGACUAGGCGGAUUCAGGAAUUGUAAAACAUUGUGUCUGAAUUGUGGUUACAUAAACCUUAAAUCAUUCUUAA